rnacentral:rRNA from 1 species
AUUGAACGCUGGCGGCAGGCCUUACACAUGCAAGUCGAACGAGUGGCGGACGGGUGAGUAAUGUCUGGGAAACUGCCUAAUGGAGGGGGAUAACUGCUGGAACCGGUAGCUAAUACCGCAUACCAUCAGAUGUGCCCAUAUCGGAGUAGCUGGUUGGUGGGGUAACGGCUCACCAAGGCGACGAUCCCUAGCUGGUCUGAGAGGAUGACCCGCCACACUGGAACUGAGACACGGCCCAGACUCCUACGGGAGGCAGCAGUGGGGAAUAUUGCACAAUGGGCGCAAGCCUGAUGCAGCCAUGCCGCGUGUAUGAAGAAGGCCUGCGGGUUGUAAAGUACUUUCAUCGGGGAGGCGGUACCUGAAGAAGAAGCACCGGCUAACUCCGUGCCAGCAGCCGCGGUAAUAC